CUGGAGGCCGCCGUCCAGCCUGCCCCAGGGCUGCUGCGCUCGCGGGUUUCCGGCCGCUCCUCCAGCUCCUCGCCGGGUCUGGUCGCCCCUUCGCCUGGGCAAAGGUUCUGGAGGAUCUACCUACUCUGAAAUCACUACCCCACAAGAGCAAUGGUCUCAGGGGAGAGAGUCUGUCAGCCUGGAGGAGUGAGUGCACCCAGAUACCAGGUGAAUCCUCACUCUUGCUGAGCCAAAGAGACUGAGGCACAAAAGCACCAGGGCCAGCAAUAAAGGGAAAAGAUGCAACAAAAAAAUAACCUAAGAGGAGAAAAGGAAGCAAGGAGGAAGCAAUUUUGGUAUUACCAACUAUAUACUUCACAUCAACACACUAAAAAAUUACAGAGCAUCGUGUCUGUUCAGGAUACUGUUCUUUUAACUGGUGAGCUCCUCUUCUACCAUUCCCCUUACAGGUAUUCCUGAGACAUAGUUCUGUUGGAGCACAGACAAUGGCAAAGAAAGACCAUGGAAUUAGUGACCCAAAUGCUCUGCUUUGGUUUUUAUAUAGGGAUUUAGAUCUAAGUGCUUCUGAUAUUUCAUCAUUUCUCUUAACGAGUAAUUCAGGCCUAUUUCUUCCUAAAGCAGAAGAUAUGGAAUAUUCAGAUAAACAAAUGGAUAGAUAUUCCUUCUAAGUAUUUAAUGGAUCGGUCUUUGUCAGGACGAGUAAGAUAGAGUAGCUACUAUAAAGAUGGCUACUUAAGAUGCAUAAAACUACUUUAAUCCUUUAUGUGUGCUCAUUUCUUAUAUAUUUUCAACUUGUACCUGACAAACUGUCUUAAAGCACUGCCCCAAUUCAGGGUGCUUCGAACUGCUUCAGUUCUAUACGUUCAGUGAUGGGUACCCAGUUAUGGGUACAGAAGCUUCCUAAUCACUAAUUGUCCAGGGCUCUACCCUCCUCUUUUUGGGAUUAUGGGUGUUUUAAGGGCUUGGAGUAGAUAUGGAGGGAAUGUCCAUGUACAAGCAUUAGUUGGGGCCAAUCAGGGCCCUCUGGCACAGAUAGGGGUCAUUGGUGAGAUGGCCUUUAAGACCUCCAUUAAUGCCUUUUGUGGUUAGGAUGACUAUACAUCCUAGUUUACCUAAGAUAUUCUAGUUUAUGCUAUUGUCCCUAUUGUUCUAAUGGAAUUGGUGCCCUUUUCACUCUCAAGUGUCCCAGUUUGGGCAAUAAAUUAUAUGGUAACCCUG